rnacentral:rRNA from 1 species
AAGACGAACGAGCGAGAGAGAGCCUGCUUUUUCGAGCGAGUGGCGAACGGGUGAGUAACGCGUGAGGAACCUGCCUCAAAGAGGGGGGACAACAGUUGGAAACGACUGCUAAUACCGCAUAAGCCCACGACCCGGCAUCGGGUAGAGGGAAAAGGAGCAAUCCGCUUUGGGAUGGCCUCGCGUCCGAUUAGCUAGUUGGUGAGGUAAUGGCCCACCAAGGCGACGAUCGGUAGCCGGACUGAGAGGUUGAACGGCCACAUUGGGACUGAGACACGGCCCACACUCCUACGGGAGGCAGCAGUGGGGAAUAUUGCACAAUGGGGGAAACCCUGAUGCAGCGACGCCGCGUGGAGGAAGAAGGUCUUCGGAUUGUAAACUCCUGUUGUUGAGGAAGAUAAUGACGGUACUCAACAAGCAAGUGACGGCUAACUACGUGCCAGCAGCCGCGGUAAAACGUAGGUCACAAGCGUUGUCCGGAAUUACUGGGUGUAAAGGGAGCGCAGGCGGGAAGACAAGUUGGAAGUGAAAUCCAUGGGCUCAACCCAUGAACUGCUUUCAAAACUGUUUUUCUUGAGUAGUGCAGAGGUAGGCGGAAUUCCCGGUGUAGCGGUGGAAUGCGUAGAUAUCGGGAGGAACACCAGUGGCGAAGGCGGCCUACUGGGCACCAACUGACGCUGAGGCUCGAAAGUGUGGGUAGCAAACAAGAUUAGAUACCCUGGUAGUCCACACUGUAAACGAUCAAAAAAGGUGUUGAGGAUGACCCCUUCAGUGCCGCAGUUAACACAAUAAGUAAUCCACCGGGGGAGUACGACCGCAAGGUUGAAACUCAAAGGAAUUGACGGGGGCCCGCACAAGCAGUGGAGUAUGUGGUUUAAUUCGACGCAACGCGAAGAACCUUACCAAGUCUUGACAUCCUGCGACGGUGCUGGAAACAGUGCUUUCCUUCGGGACGCAGAGACAGGUGGUGCAUGGUUGUCGUCAGCUCGUGUCGUGAGAUGUUGGGUUAAGUCCCGCAACGAGCGCAACCCUUAUGGUCAGUUACUACGCAAGAGGACUCUGGCCAGACUGCCGUUGACAAAACGGAGGAAGGUGGGGAUGACGUCAAAUCAUCAUGCCCUUUAUGACUUGGGCUACACACGUACUACAAUGGCGUUAAACAAAGAGAAGCAAGACCGCGAGGUGGAGCAAAACUCAGAAACAACGUCCCAGUUCGGACUGCAGGCUGCAACUCGCCUGCACGAAGUCGGAAUUGCUAGUAAUCGCAGAUCAGCAUGCUGCGGUGAAUACGUUCCCGGGCCUUGCACU